rnacentral:rRNA from 1 species
UCUCGCGUCAGGAUAUGCCUAGGUGGGAUUAGCUAGUUGGUGAGGUAAGGGCUCACCAAGGCGACGAUCCCUAGCUGGUCUGAGAGGAUGAUCAGCCACACUGGAACUGAGACACGGUCCAGACUCCUACGGGAGGCAGCAGUGGGGAAUAUUGCACAAUGGGCGCAAGCCUGAUGCAGCCAUGCCGCGUGUGUGAAGAAGGCCUUCGGGUUGUAAAGCACUUUCAGUCGUGAGGAAGGUAGUGUNGUUAAUAGCNGCAUUAUUUGACGUUAGCGACAGAAGAAGCACCGGCUAACUCCGUGCCAGCAGCCGCGGUAAUACGGAGGGUGCGAGCGUUAAUCGGAAUUACUGGGCGUAAAGCGCAUGCAGGUGGUUUGUUAAGUCAGAUGUGAAAGCCCGGGGCUCAACCUCGGAAUAGCAUUUGAAACUGGCAGACUAGAGUACUGUAGAGGGGGGUAGAAUUUCA